rnacentral:rRNA from 1 species
UACGNAGGGGGUUAGCGUUGUUCGGAAUUACUGGGCGUAAAGCGCGCGUAGGCGGACCAGAAAGUUGGGGGUGAAAUCCCGGGGCUCAACCCUGGAACGGCCUCCAAAACUCCUGGUCUUGAGUUCGAGAGAGGUGAGUGGAAUUCCGAGUGUAGAGGUGAAAUUCGUAGAUAUUCGGAGGAACACCAGUGGCGAAGGCGGCUCACUGGCUCGAUACUGACGCUGAGGUGCGAAAGUGUGGGGAGCAAACAGG